GGAAAGCUUAAGUCUAGAUGGUCU
rnacentral:siRNA from 1 species